AGUGCCCCGGGCGUCCCGCCGCCUCACUAAGCGCCUGGAGCGCGAGCCGGGGUAGAGGAAGAGAGCGAAAGAGGCUGGGCGGCCGGCCCCUCCAGGGAGUGGGCUAGACGUCUCAGGCCACAAACCCGCAGGACCGCAGCCCGUCGCGCCGCCGCCGCCCCGGCCGAACCCGCGCCGCCCGCCACUCGUGGCCGUUGGCGGGGGGGGGGGGGGGGCGCUGCUGCCAACCGCUCACUGAGGCCGGGCGACCCGCGCAGGCGCGCUGCCCGCGCCGCCGGAAGUGACGGUUCCGGCUCUUGUCACGUGGAGGGGGACCAAGGGAGGUGAUUGUGGGGGUUGGGGACUAGGGCAAAGUCGGGGGUCCCGGGUCCGGGGUUGCGCCGGGAGGGUACUGGCCAGGCCCGACUUCAAGCAGGGAGGUGGCCCGGGACUGGCUCCCGCGCUGGUCACGCACCGGGGUCCGUCAUCUCGACCGGGAGUCGCUGUGCCACUCUAGGGGCUUAAAAAUGCCGCCAACAACUUUACCCCUGCUGAGGAACUUCUCGCUUCGUUUCUUAGCCAGUUUUCCAGGCCUUCUCCCUUGAGAGUCUCCUUCCGCUCGCCCACCCUGAGCGUAGGAGGUGGGAGCAGGACGGAACUGGAGUGGAUUCCAGUAACUGGACUUCUAAACCGGCUCGGUGUCGUCGCGCUCUGUAGCGGACGCUUGUGCUGGGAAGCGUUUUGCAGUUUAUAAAUUACUUAGGAGUACUUUAAACAUCUCACGCCUGCUGUACCACAGCCAUGUGGGGGUAUUCAGAACAGGUAUUAAGGUCGUUUUGCAGACCAUUCAUCACUCUUGGCUAAAAGAACUUAACGGAGUCGCCCAAGGUCACACAGCUGGCUCGUGGUAAUUGGGGACCAUUCUUUGAUUCAUAAUUUUGUGCUUUUGGCCACCCUGAAAAAGUAAGGUCAGAUCGUUGAAAAACGGGCAGAUUUAAGGCUGUUUGGAAGCAAAAGCGACCACUGCGUUCCCCUCAAAUCAAAGAGAUUUGCACCCCCUACCAAAAAAAAAAAAAAAAAAAAAAGCCCUGUUGUAUCAAUUUCAUAAACUGCAGGAGUCUCCCGACUGCAGGGUGAAGCAACAAAAUAAAUAUGGGUGUAAAACAUUCAGGAGUGGUAGGGAAUGGCAAACUGUAGAGCCUGUGUAAAGAGAGCAGCCAAUUCUCAGCUCCAGCCUACUUUUCCACAAAAGAAGAUAGGCACACACACUGUGCCCAGAGGUUCCAGUUUCUUAAGAGAACCAAAAACCUGGAACUGUUUUCUAAUGUGGCAUUUCCCUAAUUUUUAAAAUAUAGAUCAAAUAAAUUGUAUCUGCAGGACUCCAGUAUGCACCUUCUAUGAAAGUAGAUGAAUGUGGUUCUAUCCCCACCCCUAUUUCUUUAUUCUUUUUAAUGAGAUAACGGGUAGAAACAUUAGAAAAUGUGCUUAGACAAAAACUUUGAACUUAAAAUCCUUGUUCUUUCUUCCCUGCUAUUUGAAGAGAAGCUAUUUCUGCCAACACUAAAAUAGUGCUCUGGAUUUAGGCAUUUCUGCUACAUAACCCACUAAACUAAAAUUCUUCAUCCAGAGACCUGACGUUUAAAGUAGAUUCCAGCUUAGUGGAAGUGAGAUUAUAUGUCAGAUGAUUGAUGUGGUGUGGCAGUUGGGGAUUUCCAUUUAGAAACAAGCUGACCACUUUCGUUGCUGUGGGGCUUCAUUGUGGAGUCUCAUUCCUAAAUUUGAAUUGUUUUUUAAGCAGAAUAAUGGAAAGAUUAAGUCAUUUCAUGCAAUUCAAAACUGGAGUCAGACAAACAUACAAAGUUUGGGCCUGAUAUAACUUCACCUGAUCACAACAAGCCUGCUAUAAUAAGUUUCAAAGUUAGUUUACGAGGAUCACUUGAGGCCAGGAGUUCAAAACCAGCAUGGUCAACAUAACAAGACCUCAUCUCUUUAAAAAAAAAAAAAAAAAAAAUUAAAAAUUAGCCAGGUAUGGUGGUGGUGCACCUGUAAUCCCAGCUACUCAGGAGGCUGAGGCAGGAGGAUCGCUUGAACCAAGGAGUUCAAGGCUGCAGUGCGCUAUGAUGGCACUGGUGCACUCCAGGCUGGGUGUCUCUUAAAAACAAACAAAAGUUUGACCAGUCAAAGUGGCUUGCACCUAUAAUCCCAGCACUUUGGGAAGCCGAGGUGGGUGGAUUGCUUGAACUCAGGAGUUCAAGACCAACCUGGGCAAUAUGGUGAGACCUUCCAUCUCUAUCAAAAAUACAAAAAUUAGCUGGGCUUGGUGGGGUGGCGCAGGCCUGUGGUCCCUGCUACUUGGGAAGCUGAGGUGCGUGGAUCACUGGAGCCAAGGAAGUCGAGGCUGCAGUGAGCCAUGAUAGCAUCAGCUGCACUCCAGCCUGGACAACAGAGGAAGACACUGUCUCUAAGUAAAUAAAUAAGUCAAUUUACAAUUAAUGUGGUAAAGAUUACUUGUAUGUACCAAUGUAACUUGACUUUUGAUAUUGAAAUGUAUAAUUAUAAUAAAUGUAUAAUUAAAUGUGUAAUAAUGUAUAGACCCCCUCUGAAAGACGAGGGUAACACCAAG
rnacentral:lncRNA from 1 species